rnacentral:lncRNA from 1 species
GUGGGAGAUGCCAAAAUCCUUCAUUAGACUUGGUACUUUCCUUUCCUAUUUUAAGAAUCCUCUUAUUAGUGCUGUGGCAUGAAUACUUGUCCAUCUGUCUAUCCAUCUAUCCCCGAGCACCUGCAUCCUUCUCAGCAAAGCCAGAACCCUGUCCUCACAGAGCUCCCAAGCUGCUGUCAAAAGGUGAACAGAGGCUUGAUGCAGCCAGGAAAACAUCCAUGAGUGCAUGUCAGGGAAAGGCUCAGCACAGCCACCUGCUCCCUCAUCAUGGCCCUCCCUGCUCCAGGCAGGGUGUUCCAUCCAGAAGAGGAGCCUGCACGAAGGCAAGCUGUUCAGGGCGAAGAGCAGUCCACAUGGCUGAAGCACAAGGCAUGAUCCUGAGCACUGGGGAUUCAAAGAUGGCUACAACACUGUUCAUAUCCUCAAGGAGGAUGGCAGAUAAUAUAUAAACAUUUCAGGACAGCAGACAAGAAUCCAAGCUCAAGCAGAGUACUAGGAGUCUCCUUUGGGGCGGAGAGGAUGGAGCAGCUAAUCGUGUCCGGAGCAUCUGGGAAGGCUUCUUGAGAAGCACAGGACUGCAUCACAUCUAAAUUCCUCCAUCUGGCAUCCCCGAGGACCUCUGCAAUCUGUCUACACUCAACCUACCAACAACCAACUGACGUCUGUCAUGGGUCCAGCGAGGACAGUGCCCCUGCCCCUCCUGAUGCCCCUUCCUCCUCCACGUGCCUCCAGUCCCUCAGCUCCCACAGCCUCCCACAUAUCUGCAUACUCACUGGAAGGUACGGUCUUCACGUCUGCUCUUUUCCAAGACUGAAAGCACUCCUGUUUGUCUAAAUCCUGCUUCACCCUUUAAGGGAAGACUAAGGAGUUUCAUUUCCUCUGAGCAUCAUUUUUCCCCUUUUGAAAGCCUAAUGUACUUAGGAUGAACCAAUGACCACCACAUGCCUGCUGCUUCUAACCCCCAUCCCCCGGCCAUAACAGACAUUCCCACUGGUCAUCAGACGGCACUCUUUCUCCUGGCACCCUGAGGCAGUGUCACAUGUUUUGCCAUUCAGGCAGCACCCACUGGGUAGAGUUGGCAUCCAAGUUGAAACUGUUUGCCAUCCAGAGCUAAAAAUUAUAUCACAUGUUUUGACAUGUCAUCAUGAAGGUAAAUCAUAUCAACAAACAAUUGAGCACCAACCAAGUACAAGAGCAGAGAAGGGUUGGGAAGGUGAACCUAUUGAUACACUGUCUCGUAUCAUUUGCAGCUUGUCAGUGCCUUGAGGACAAAAACCAUAUUCCAUCUACCUCUGCAGAAUCCCCUCACAGUACCAAAGCAGAGAGCUGGGUACUUCACCUCACUAGAUUCCAAGAUCCCAUCUCUACACAAAAGGAGAAACAGAACCAUUAUCUCGGGCUACAUUUCUCAGCACCUGGGCCAGCAAUCUUGUCUUAGUUGUCACCCAGGCCAGAAUCCCAUUUACCCCAUCCUAGUUGGCACUGCAGAGUUAUGCUUUAUUUCUAAACCAUGUCAGGCCUUUGCAUCCCAUCCCAAUGGCUCAGGUAAAAUUGGAUGGCAAUGGGAAUGUGCCCUACAUGGGCUGAUCAAAGUCAUACACUGUCUCCCUGGGAAUCUAUGGAGUUCAGGUCAACCCUCCAAUAUGUCUACUUCCUUUGCCAAAAAGUAAGAAAUGGUGGCUGGGCACAGUGGCUCACGGCUGUAAACCCAGCACUUUGGGAGGCCGAAGCAGGUGGAUCACCUGAGAUCAUGAGUUCAAGACCAGCCUGGCCAAACACGGUGAAACCUAUCUCUACUAAAAAUACAAAAAUUAGCUGAGUAUGGUGGCACGAGUCUGUAAUCCCAGCUACUUGGGAGGCUGAGGCAUGAGAAUUGUUUGAACCCGGGAGGCAGAGGUUGCAGUGAGCCGAGAUAGCACUGCUGCACUCCAACCUGGGUGAGAGCGAGACUCUGUGUCAAAAAAAAAAAAAAAAAAAAAAGUAAGAAAUGAGUGAACAUUUCAAAAUGGCAGGAACUGGUUAAGUUUAAAACUGAACACUUUCAUUUUGACAAGAAAGCAGUCAUUCUUUUUCUCCAUUAACAGAGAUAAAGAAAAGCUUUUCAAAUCUGUAUAUGGCUACGUUGAUUGACGUCUGAGUUAAAAAUGAAAUCUCAGCCGGGCGCGGUGGCUCACACCUGUAAUCCCAGCACUUUGGGAGGCUGAGGUGGGUGGAUCAUGAGGUCAGGAGAUGGAGGCCAUCCUAGCUAACAUGGUGAAACCCCAUCUCUACUAAAAAUACAAAAAAUUAGCUGGGCAUGGUGGCAUGCACCUGUAGUCCCAUCUACUCAGGAGGCUGACACAGGAGAAUCACUUGAACCCAGGAGGCGGAAGUUGCAGUGAGCCGAGAUUGUGCCACUGCACUGUAGCCUGGUUGACAGAGCGAGACUCCAUCUCCAAAAAAAAAAAAAGAGAGAGAGAGAGAAAUCUCAUUUCCCUGUUGCUCAGUCAUGUUCCUAUAAACAUACUACUUGCAUGCCUGGACAGUUAUCACUUUCCAACCUCUUAUCUCGGUGAUUUCCCAAGCUACAGAGUAAGAUAGGUGGAGAAUUUUUGUAUUUUUAGUAGAGACAGGGUUUCACCAUGUUGGUCAGGCUGGUCUUGAACUCUGGCCUACACAACAGAGCAAGACUCCGUCUCAAAAAACAAAUAGGCAGAGAAGGGGUUAUUUACAUUUCACAGAUGAGGUUCACAGGCACUGAGUUAUUUUUGCUACAGUCAACGUGAACAAUACAAACAGCAAUUGUGCCCUCUGGUUUGAAGAGACCUGGCUCCACCCACCUGGUGGGGAAAACUACAACUCCACCCUGGUCCCAUGCCUGCCAGCUCUCACCUGGACUCCUCUGUUGUCUCACGUAAGUCACAUCUAAGUAUGACCUCAGCUGCUCAAAGGACUGCUGAGAAAGUUAGUCAAGUUAUCCAACCAACACUCAGCAAACCGAGGACCCAUCUGGGAGGUGGAGCCACCCUACCCAAUCACAGCUGUUGGGAGUGUAUCUGUCCCAGUGGGUGGCACAGCUGAGCUCCUACCUAGAGGUGGCCACCAUGCUAGGAAGCACCUUCACCUUGGACAGUGGGCUCAGGUUCUGGCUCUGCCACUUAUUAGCUAUGCAGACUUGGGCAAGUGACUUUACCCCUCCUCACUGCAGCUUCUUCACUGUAAAAUGAGAAUACAGACACCAGAAGCUACCCAGGUUUGUUGGUAAGUGCAAAUGAGGCAGCCUAUGUAAACAAGAGCCAGUGUCUUCGUGUGGCAAACCCCAUGGCAAGUUCUCAUGGAACAUUGGCUAUUACUGCUGUGUCUAGUCUAUGUAACACUCACUGCCCUGCCCCAGCCACCAGCCACCACCCAGGAACAGCAUGGUGCCCGGUGCAGAGUAACUGCUAAAUACUAAGUUAGUAUACUCACAAUGUACCUAACUCACUGAUGACCCUGAAGGAGGUGCACAAUUCUUCCCGGAGGAGGCCCUGCCCUGGCUUAGGGCUGGCUCUGCUAUGAGGGAGACAGCUGCCUCAUCUAAAGCUGCUCUUACACCUUCCUGGACUGUCCAGAAAAACUCUCUAUGGUUUGCUAUAGACAGAACAGUCAGAAGGUGAAAGAGGGCCCAGAUCCCCAGGCCCAAUCUUACCCCAACUCCAUUCAUUGCUAAGGCUAAGAAUGUCUGUGGGUCAGUGGAGAACAGGCAGCACUCAUCUCAUCAGAGAAACUACUCUUUCAUACGAACGUCUCCAAUGUAUGGACACCAUUUUCCCACUGAGUGUGCCGACACCAUAGAAACACGGAUCAUACCUUUCUAAGUAAAUAUAUGAAUAGAAGCUUUAAAAUAUUUUAAGUAUGGAGUCUAUAAUUAAGACACAGCGUUUGAGAUAUUUACACAGAAGAUUAAUGACUCCAUGCACAUAAUUCAUCAUUGCUUUAGUAUUACCAAGUAAUAUUAAGUUAAUUAAGAGACAUUGGGAGGCCAAAAAACCAGGCAUGACCCAACUGCAGCCCUGCAAUGGAAAUGAAUGAGCAAGUCAGCAGGCAGAACUGAGUCUCGGGAGACCCACACUGAGCUGAGGAGUAUCUAAGAAACCCAUGUCACUUGCACUGACCUGCUCUUGCCAGUCCAAGGUCACUCUCAUCCAUUAUUUGACACCUCCCAGAGGCUAGAGAGAGGGCUCCGUCACCAUUUCCCAAGCUCAGAACCCACACAGGCCUUUCCACAGGCAAUUCCACUCCCAGGGAACCUGGUGGCUCCAAGAGGAGUUACUAGGGGAUUAUAUUGAGUUAGGUGGCAAGGGCUGGUUAAUUAUCUCUACUCUUCUUUUGAAAGUAAAUUUUAUGUUUUAAAUUGCUUUCCUUGCUCCAAAAAAAAAACCUUAGAGCAGCAAGAAUAUAAAAAUUCAAAGUAGGUGAGAAAGGGAACGUUACAUGGCUGUUUAAAAGGAGAAGGCAGAUCCACAUGUGAGGGCAAGAAAGAGUGCCUACGAUCUUAUUAUUCCAGAUUAUUACAGUGUGUAAUACGAAUACUGCAGUGGUAUGAACAUUACAGGCCCCUGGAAUCUGAAAAGAUGGUGACCUCUUCAUAAGCCAGUCUGCAGGGCAAGCACCCAGAAGCAAAGAGGCUUGCCUCAGAGAAAAAGAUCCUUGGGACUUUCCAACUCUACUUUUAGGUAGCUCUGAUUUGUGUGAGCUUUUCCCAUUGAGCAUCUUUUACUUUAAAAUCAGCUGAAACUUUAAAUAUUUAGGACAGAAGAAUAAGGUAAAAUGAAAAAAAAAGAGCGAGGAAAAUAAAAUAAAAAUAAGACCAUUGUAAAGAUGUAUCCUGUGAAGACAUGUCUUUAUUAAUAAGUCUGAGAUUUUUGAUAGUUAAUGUAAAAGAAGGAAAUCAGAUCAGUGACACAAGUCACCUUAACCGUUGAAUGAAACUGUUUCUUGGCACAGAACAAAAUAUUUCUCCAGAGGAUCUGCACAGAGAAAAGAAUCAGUUGACAAUAGGUAUUAAGCAUCAAUUAUAGGAAGUAGAAUAACAUGGAAUUCCUGUCUCCAUGAAAUGUAUACUGUAAUGGAGGAGAGAGGAUUGUUUAAAUAAAAUACAUAUGAAAUUAAUUCAGUGCUUUGUAUCCAGCAAUUUUUGAAAAAUGAAAUAAAAUUGUAUGGAAAAUAUCACAUUGCACA